CAAAGAGGAGAAUGCCUUUUCGGUGAGAUUUUUAAUAUAUCUAAAAGAGAAUAUGAUUCUAUCUUAUUGGAAUCAACUUUGUUAGGUAUAGUUCGAUCCAUGAUGAAGUUUUCAAGUCUGUCAGUCUCCUUUUAGGAUUAUGCUCUUAAGACUACUUGUUAUGUUCUGAGCUGGAUUUCAAAUUAAUCAGUUGCGAAGUCUCCAUAUGAGAUAUGG
rnacentral:lncRNA from 1 species